UUUUAAUCCAACAUCGAGGUCGCAAACUUUUUCAUCGAUAUGAACUCUCCAAAAAAAUUACGCUGUUAUCCCUAUGGUAAGUUAAUCUUAUAAUCAAAAAUUUUGGAUCAAAAAAACAUAAAUUAAUGAAAAAAAUUAUUAAAAGUUAAAUAAAUUUUAAUGUCACCCCAACAAAACUUUAUAUUCUAAAAUAAAAUUUAAUAAACAAAAAAUUUAAAUUUAUAAAUAAAGUUAACUUCAAUAGGGUCUUCUCGUCCUAUAAUAAAAUUUUAGCUUUUUAACUAAAAAAUUAAAUUAAAUUAAAUUAAUAUAAAGAAAGAAUAUUUUUCAUCAAACCAUUCAUUCUAGCCUUCAAUUAAAAGACAAGUGAUUAUGCUACCUUCGUACAGUUAAAAUACCGCAGCCUUUUAAUUCAAAAAAAUCAAUGGGCAGGCCUGAUCUUAAAUAAAAUUCAAAAGACCAUGUUUUUGUUAAACAGGCG
rnacentral:rRNA from 1 species